rnacentral:rRNA from 1 species
AACACAUGCAAGUCGAGCGGAAACGAAGAGGUGCUUGCACCUCUGGCGUCGAGCGGCGGACGGGUGAGUAAUGCUUGGGAAUAUGCCUUAUGGUGGGGGACAACAGUUGGAAACGACUGCUAAUACCGCAUAAUGUCUACGGACCAAAGUGGGGGACCUUCGGGCCUCACGCCAUAAGAUUAGCCCAAGUGGGAUUAGCUAGUUGGUGAGGUAAUGGCUCACCAAGGCGACGAUCCCUAGCUGGUUUGAGAGGAUGAUCAGCCACACUGGGACUGAGACACGGCCCAGACUCCUACGGGAGGCAGCAGUGGGGAAUAUUGCACAAUGGGCGCAAGCCUGAUGCAGCCAUGCCGCGUGUGUGAAGAAGGCCUUCGGGUUGUAAAGCACUUUCAGUAAGGAGGAAAGGUUAAGUGUUAAUAGCGCUUAGCUGUGACGUUACUUACAGAAGAAGCACCGGCUAACUCCGUGCCAGCAGCCGCGGUAAUACGGAGGGUGCGAGCGUUAAUCGGAAUUACUGGGCGUAAAGCGUACGCAGGCGGUUUG